rnacentral:rRNA from 1 species
UUGGAGGGCAAGUCUGGUGCCGGCAGCCGCGGUAAUUCCAGCUCCAAUAGCGUAUAUUAAAGUUGUUGCUGUUAAAAAGCUCGUAGUUGAACCUUGGGUCUGGCUGGCCGGUCCGCCUCACCGCGAGUACUGGUCCGGCUGGACCUUUCCUUCUGGGGAACCUCAUGGCCUUCACUGGCUGUGGGGGGGACCAGGACUUUUACUGUGAAAAAAUUAGAGUGUUCAAAGCAGGCCUUUGCUCGAAUACAUUAGCAUGGAAUAAUAGAAUAGGACGUGCGG